UACGUAGGUGGCAAGCGUUGUCCGGAUUUACUGGGCGUAAAGAGCGCGCAGGCGGUCGUUCAAGUCGCGUGUGAAAGCCCCCGGCUCAACUGGGGAGGGUCACGCGAUACUGAUCGACUCGAAGGCAGGAGAGGGUAGUGGAAUUCCCGGUGUAGUGGUGAAAUGCGUAGAUAUCGGGAGGAACACCAGUGGCGAAGGCGGCAUUCUGGACUGUAACUGACACUGAGGAACGAAAGCCAGGGGAGCAAACGGG
rnacentral:rRNA from 1 species